AAUAACACUCUCUGGUCGUUGCCUUAUUUACAUUUCACAGCAGUUCGAAUUGAAGGCUACAGUGACUUGUUGUUUUUUUCCGCGUUUCUUUUGUCGCAUUUUUGAAUGCACUUUAAUUUUUUUCCAUUCAGAAGACGCAGAGUUCGAUUGUAUUGCAAUUUAAAAAUGACUGUUGAAAGUUCCGAUUGGCGAAUAUGCCGUAGCGUAGCACUGGUAAUUGGUUGGUUAAGUGUGUUUGUGAGCUGUGGUCUUAUUUAUAUAAUUUUCGAGUAUCCCGGUCAUUUUGGCCAUAGCGUACACGAAACUGUUCUUCCACUAUUACCGGUUUUCAAUAUAUUGGCGUGUUACUGCUGGUUCUAUGGCAUCGAAAAAACAAAAUUUGGAUUUAUGCGGAUAUCGCUUGUAUUCUGGGCAAUAAAUUUGAUCUUGGUCAUCGUUUGCGUAUUCUCAAGUACAUUACAAUACAAAGAUGAUAAACGGAAAUAUCACCACCAAUUGGUUUCAAUUUACUUUUCAGUUCCGACAGUAUAUUUCUUGGUGUCUUAUUACGUGUCAAUUGUUUGCUAUACAAUCAUGAAGAAGACAGCGCCCAAAAAAGCCGAACGUACAAUGGUGUAAAUGUUUAUGGUCGAUAAAAUAUGAUGAAAAAUAUAGAAAAUUGGUGAAGUUUAUUGUGUACGGUCGAUUAGCUUUGGAAAUUAAUCAUUUAAAGAGCCCGAAAACGAUAUAUAUAUAUCUCAAGACGCGUCUCAAAAACCGCUAAAAUGUGUUAUCCGGAAUUAUCUUUCCGUUAUGUUCAAAUUA